AAGUCGUAACAAGGUUUCCGUAGGUGAACCUGCGGAAGGAUCAUUAUCACGUAUCCACGUAUCAACCAUUGUGAACUGUGUUUUUAUUGAGGAGAGUAAGAUUUAAACUGCGUAUGGGCCAUUGCGUGCUAUCAGUAAAUCGCGUUGACUCCUUAAUAAAUUCUCUACCUUCAGAGAGAUUUGUAAGAUAAGUGAUUUGAAAUUUUACUGUCAUGGUUUUUUUUCGUUUCAUGAUUUUUCUCUCUGAAGCGUAAUAUCUUACACCAUAACCAAUUGAACCAAUUUUAUGAAUUUAGUACUGAUUUAUAUUUCUGGCUUUGAAAAGAGCGGAAAUUUUUUUCUAUACGAAAAAAAAAUUUAUACAACUCUUAGCAACGGAUAUCUUGGUUCUC
rnacentral:misc_RNA from 1 species